CUUUUCACAUCGAGAAAUAGUCGAGGUAAUCUGCGCGAUAUGCGUAUCAUGCGAGUUAUUAUGGCGUCGGUGUGUCGACCGUGCCAGUCGAAAACCCUCAACAAAUCAUGUUAUGAGGAAUCUCUAGCGCUUACAGAAGCAAUAACUUUGUACUAUAGACAAGGCUCGGUAUAAUGUGACGUAUAUAGAACAAGAAUUGCAUUUAACAUGGUUCUUUGGGGACAAUAGUUUAUAAGACCCAACUAGAGGAUGAUAUAUAUAAAUACCACAUAGAUUAAAUCGCAUUUCGAGAGCAAGGACAGGGAGUUUAAGAGUGACGUAUAGUUGUAAUCUAUGCAAGAAUGCUUUUUUUGUUAUUCAGUAAUUGCCUUUGGCAGACAGCAUCUUUGAAAAUCAUCCAAAGUUGCUCAAGCACGUAGAAGGCGGAAUUUUUUUUGAACGUUCGGCAUGUUUGAUACUGUAUAUAGAACUUGAUAGGCAGUGCUAUUUAGAUUGAAUACAACAAAUUAUAUUUAAAGUUCUCGAAUAUUACAGAAAGGAAUGUCUGCAUAGUGGUUUGUUAAAUUUAAGAUUUGACCAAACCGUUUAUGGCUCGGUUCAUGAUGUUAUAGCCACAGUUAAUAAAGGUGAAAUUAUACUGUGGUUACUUUAAUAUGCUAGAUAUCUUCGCGAACUACAGUAGUAGCUAAGUUGGUUCAAAUUGAACUCUUCAGUACUUGAACUUCCGCGUAAAAGUCCAAAUGUUCUCAUGUCUUCUUAAUUUGUAGGGUCGCGCAAAGGGAAAUCGUCGUUCACUAUGGCUGCGCGCACGAAUGCAGACAUUUCUUUUCAAGCUUGGUUAUUACGCACAGAACCACAGCGUACAAGUUAUCAUGAUUGGCUUGGUGGCUCUUAUCGUAUUCGCGCUUGGUUUAUACAAAGCAAGGCUUGAAACCAACGUGGAAAAUCUAUGGAUGGAAG